rnacentral:rRNA from 1 species
CGGGUUGUAAAGCACUUUAGUUGGGGAAGAAGAGACGUGAAUCUAAUAGAUUGACGAGGUGACGUUACCCAAAGAAUAAGCACCGGCUAACUCUGUGC